rnacentral:misc_RNA from 1 species
CAAUUGCCAGAUGCUGUGCCUCGACGACAACCGGCGCAAAGGCGCAGUUUAGCGCCGAAAUCUCGGACACCACCAGUCAGUCAGGCAGAAUUAUCCGCCGUAUUUCGAAUAAGGCGGCUGCGGUUGAUCCAGUUUGCUGGCAUCGCGGACGGCGCGAUUCCAAUCGCGGUGGGUGUCAAUCCAGAGCCACCCAAAAAGCCACACUGCCAAAAAGCCGCCAACCGCGGACAACAGAGCGUACCACCCCCAGUGCCCGGGGCGUUGCACGGCAAAACCUGCGAUCAAAAGCACGGUCAAGACAGCGAGGCAAAAAGCUGUGUUGCG